rnacentral:rRNA from 1 species
GAAGGUGGCCUGUGAGGGUUGCUGGAGGUAUCAGAAGUGCGAAUGCUGACAUAAGUAACGAUAAAGCGGGUGAAAAGCCCGCUCGCCGGAAGACCAAGGGUUCCUGUCCAACGUUAAUCGGGGCAGGGUGAGUCGACCCCUAAGGCGAGGCCGAAAGGCGUAGUCGAUGGGAAACGGGUUAAUAUUCCCGUACUUGGUGUUACUGCGAAGGGGGGACGGAGAAGGCUAUGUUGGCCGGGCGACGGUUGUCCCGGUUUAAGCGUGUAGGUGUGUGUUCCAGGUAAAUCCGGUUCACUUUAACACUGAGGCGUGACGACGAGGCACUACGGUGCUGAAGCAACAAAUGCCCUGCUUCCAGGAAAAGCCUCUAAGCAUCAGGUAACAUCAAAUCGUACCCCAAACCGACACAGGUGGUCAGGUAGAGAAUACCAAGGCGCUUGAGAGAACUCGGGUGAAGGAACUAGGCAAAAUGGUGCCGUAACUUCGGGAGAAGGCACGCUGACACGUAGGUGAAGUGAUUUACUCAUGGAGCUGAAGUCAGUCGAAGAUACCAGCUGGCUGCAACUGUUUAUUAAAAACACAGCACUGUGCAAACACGAAAGUGGACGUAUACGGUGUGACGCCUGCCCGGUGCCGGAAGGUUAAUUGAUGGGGUCAGCGCAAGCGAAGCUCCUGAUCGAAGCCCCGGUAAACGGCGGCCGUAACUAUAACGGUCCUAAGGUAGCGAAAUUCCUUGUCGGGUAAGUUCCGACCUGCACGAAUGGCGUAAUGAUGGCCAGGCUGUCUCCACCCGAGACUCAGUGAAAUUGAACUCGCUGUGAAGAUGCAGUGUACCCGCGGCAAGACGGAAAGACCCCGUGAACCUUUACUAUAGCUUGACACUGAACAUUGAGCCUUGAUGUGUAGGAUAGGUGGGAGGCUUUGAAGUGUGGACGCCAGUCUGCAUGGAGCCGACCUUGAAAUACCACCCUUUAAUGUUUGAUGUUCUAACGUGGACCCGUGAUCCGGGUUGCGGACAGUGUCUGGUGGGUAGUUUGACUGGGGCGGUCUCCUCCUAAAGAGUAACGGAGGAGCACGAAGGUUGGCUAAUCCUGGUCGGACAUCAGGAGGUUAGUGCAAUGGCAUAAGCCAGCUUGACUGCGAGCGUGACGGCGCGAGCAGGUGCGAAAGCAGGUCAUAGUGAUCCGGUGGUUCUGAAUGGAAGGGCCAUCGCUCAACGGAUAAAAGGUACUCCGGGGAUAACAGGCUGAUACCGCCCAAGAGUUCAUAUCGACGGCGGUGUUUGGCACCUCGAUGUCGGCUCAUCACAUCCUGGGGCUGAAGUAGGUCCCAAGGGUAUGGCUGUUCGCCAUUUAAAGUGGUACGCGAGCUGGGUUUAGAACGUCGUGAGACAGUUCGGUCCCUAUCUGCCGUGGGCGCUGGAGAACUGAGGGGGGCUGCUCCUAGUACGAGAGGACCGGAGUGGACGCAUCACUGGUGUUCGGGUUGUCAUGCCAAUGGCACUGCCCGGUAGCUAAAUGCGGAAGAGAUAAGUGCUGAAAGCAUCUAAGCACGAAACUUGCCCCGAGAUGAGUUCUCCCUGAGACUU